AAAUAGUACAAUUAUAUGUCAUAAAAUAUUGGCUGUUAUUAAAACCUCAAAUAUUUUUCUAAAAGCUAAGUAAAAAGUAAUUUAUAAUAAAAAGCUGAGAUAAUGAGGGAUAAACAAAAUCCUAAAGAGACAAAAACUCAAUCAUCAAAUUCAACCAAAAAAAAGUGUUGUGUUCCAAUGUGAAUAAUAAACUGAA